AUGACCUGCGGUAACCAGCAUGAGCUCGCCUGACAGGAGAACAUGAAAAAGCAGAGCAACACGGUUAGGGGGACGCGCUGAGAUGACGGGCUUUUUGCUGCUGCCCGCAAGCACAGGGACUCGGAGAUCAUGCAGCAGAAGCAGAAAAAGACAAACAAGAAGGAGGACCCCAAACAGCUUUGUGGCUUCAUGUCCAACCUCCUUGCCCCUCGCCCGUGUGCCUGGAGCCAGGCCCACCAUGCUGGCGUUUCCUCCUGGAGUGCUCACAGGUCCCAACACCGACGGCUCUCCCUUUGCUCUGAGUCUGCAGCAGGUCCCUUUUGUGCUUCCUCCCCCUCAGGUAGCCUCUCUCUCCCUGGGCCAUUCCUGGGGAUGAGGGGGUUACCCCUUCCCAGUUUUUUUAUUCCUGUGGGGCUCACCCCAAAGUUUUAAAAGUAGCUUUGUAAUUCCAAAAAAAAU